AGUGGAUGGGGAGCAACCUAGUUGUGCGUGUGUAAAGGUAGUGCCAAGAAAAGCGAUGAUCAUGUUGAAAAUCAAUUCCCGGUACCCGAAACCGACACAGUUGGGCAAGUAGAGAAUACUAAGGGGCGCGAGGUAACUCUCUCCAAGGAACUCGGCAAAAUGACCCCGUAACUUAGGGAGAAGGGGUGCCACCGAGAGGUGGUCGCAGUGAAGAGGCCCAGGCGACUGUUUAGCAAAAACAUAGGUCUCUGCAAACUCGAAAGAGGAGGUAUAGGGGCUGACGCCUGCCCAGUGCCGGAAGGUUAAAGAAGUUGGUCAGUUUUAGGAUGAAGCUAGCGACUGAAGCCCCGGUGAACGGCGGCCGUAACUAUAACGGUCCUAAGGUAGCGAAAUUCUUGUCGGGUAAGUUCCGACCCGCACGAAAGGCGUAACGAUCUGGGCGCUGUCUCGGAGAGAGGCUCGGCGAAAUAGGAUUGUCUGUGAAGAUACGGACUACCUGCAUUUGGACAGAAAGACCCUAUGAAGCUUUACUAUAGCUUGGAAUUGUGUUCGGGCUUCCUGUGCGCAGGAUAGGUGGGAGGCGUAGAAGGUAUUCUUGUGGGGAUACUGGAGCCAACGGUGAGAUACCACUCUCAGGAGGCUAGAAUUCUAACUUAAUUAAGGACAGUUUCAGGUGGGUAGUUUGACUGGGGCGGUCGCCUCCAAAAAGGUAACGGAGGCGUACAAAGGUUCCCUCAGACUGGUUGGAAAUCAGUCGAAGAGUGCAAAGGCAGAAGGGAGCUUGACUGCGAGAAGUACAGUUCGAGCAGGGUGGAAACACGGUCUUAGUGAUCCGACGGUGCUGUGUGGAAGGGCCGUCGCUCAACGGAUAAAAGUUACUCUAAGGAUAACAGGCUGAUCUCCCCCAAGAGUUCACAUCGACGGGGAGGUUUGGCACCUCGAUGUCGGCUCAUCGCAACCUGGGGCGGAAGUACGUCCCAAGGGUUGGGCUGUUCGCCCAUUAAAGCGGUACGUGAGCUGGGUUCAGAACGUCGUGAGACAGUUCGGUCCAUAUCCGAUGUAGGCGUGAGAAUAUUGAGAGGAGCCUUCCUUAGUACGAGAGGACCGGGAAGGACGCACCGCUGGUGUACCUGUUAUGAUGCCAAUUGUAAACGCAGGGUAGCCAAGUGCGGAGAGGAUAACCGCUGAAAGCAUCUAAGUGGGAAGCCCACCUCAAGAUGAGUAUUCUGGUGUAAGGUCACGGGAAGACGACCCGUAAAUAGGCACGAGGUGGAAGUGCAGAGAUGUAUGAAGCCGAAGUGUACUAAUAGACCGUCGGCUUGAC
rnacentral:rRNA from 1 species